CCUACGGGUGGCAGCAGUGGGGAAUAUUGGACAAUGGGGGGAACCCUGAUCCAGCCAUGCCGCGUGUGUGAAGAAGGCCCUCGGGUUGUAAAGCACUUUCAGUGAGGAAGAACGCCUGGUGGUUAAUACCCAUCAGGAAAGACAUCACCCACAGAAGAAGCACCGGCUAACUCCGUGCCAGCAGCCGCGGUAAUACGGAGGGUGCGAGCGUUAAUCGGAAUUACUGGGCGUAAAGCGCGCGUAGGUGGCUUGAUAAGCCGGUUGUGAAAGCCCCGGGCUCAACCUGGGAACGGCAUCCGGAACUGUCGAGCUAGAGUGCAGGAGAGGAAGGUAGAAUUCCCGGUGUAGCGGUGAAAUGCGUAGAGAUCGGGAGGAAUACCAGUGGCGAAGGCGGCCUUCUGGACUGACACUGACGCUGAGGUGCGAAAGCGUGGGUAGCAAACAGGAUUAGAUACCCUAGUAGUC
rnacentral:rRNA from 1 species